rnacentral:rRNA from 1 species
AGUGGCGGACGGGUGAGUAACGCGUAAGAAUCUAACUUCAGGACGGGGACAACAGUGGGAAACGACUGCUAAUACCCGAUGUGCCGCGAGGUGAAACCUAAUUGGCCUGAAGAAGAGCUUGCGUCUGAUUAGCUAGUUGGUGGGGUAAGAGCCUACCAAGGCGACGAUCAGUAGCUGGUCUGAGAGGAUGAGCAGCCACACUGGGACUGAGACACGGCCCAGACUCCUACGGGAGGCAGCAGUGGGGAAUUUUCCGCAAUGGGCGAAAGCCUGACGGAGCAACGCCGCGUGAGGGAGGAAGGUCUUUGGAUUGUAAACCUCUUUUCUCAAGGAAGAAGUUCUGACGGUACUUGAGGAAUCAGCCUCGGCUAACUCCGUGCCAGCAGCCGCGGUAAUACGGGGGAGGCAAGCGUUAUCCGGAAUUAUUGGGCGUAAAGCGUCCGCAGGUGGUCAGCCAAGUCUGCCGUCAAAUCAGGUUGCUUAACGACCUAAGGGCGGUGGAAACUGGCAGACUAGAGAGCAGUAGGGGUAGCAGGAAUUCCCAGUGUAGCGGUGAAAUGCGUAGAGAUUGGGAAGAACAUCGGUGGCGAAAGCGUGCUACUGGGCUGUAUCUGACACUCAGGGACGAAAGCUAGGGGAGCGAAAGGGAUUAGAUACCCCUGUAGUCCUAGCCGUAAACGAUGGAUACUAGGCGUGGCUU